rnacentral:lncRNA from 1 species
CUGUAGAAGAAGCAAUAGAGACAAGAAAUGCUGUUUACAACCUUCAAUGGCCACCUAAUGGUGGACGCCUAUUGGUGGCUGACUUUGUUGAUCCCCAGGAAGUUAAAACCCGGCUUGAUGCUCCACCACAGACUCCAACUACUCCUGGGACUUCUGGUUCUACUGCUCCUCAAGCUCAACCUGCUUCUCAGCCCCAGCCCUCUCCACGUCAGCAGGUUUCUAGACAGCAGCAUCCACCACCUUCUGCACUUCCUCCACCGCCUUUGUCUAACCCUCCACCAGUUAGAGAACGGCUCCCUCUUCCUCUGCCACCGGCAGAGAAAGUAGAUCCUCCUAUUGUCACUCUGGAUGAUCUAUUUUGGAAAACCAAAGCAAUUCCUCGUAUCUACUAUUUGCCUUUGUCAGAUGAACAAGUUGCAGCAAAGCAAGCAGCACAUGGCAGAAACAUCUAGCAGUAGAGCUGAGGCUAUAGUUUUAUCCCUGGCUGCUCUUCUGGUUUUCAUAUCGGUUGGUCUGUACGUUAGUUAAUGGUAAGAGAACUGUCACAUAAUUGCAUGUUUGCAGGUCUGCAGGUUUUGCUUUAUAGGAAGGAAUUGUUGCAGCCGUGCAGAGGGAACUUGUCCAGUGAUGGGUAUUGGUUUUUCUGCCGGCUACUUGUGGGCUUGAGUUCAAGUUCCAUUUAGCACUAAAAUCCUUCAAAACUGAGAUCUCUCUGUAGUAAUGGAUCGAUUAUCCUUUGUUCUAAUUUGGUUUUCCUACAGAACAAUAGCCUCAACUCUUAUGAACCUGAUUUUGUAGAAUUUAACUUUUACUCUGGAUGUUAAUUUUACAUAGAUUUGUUAAAAGGGAAUGUAGGCUUACUCGUUAUAAGUAUGUGUAGUUUCAUCCAGGGUUUUUAUCAUUUAUUUAUGUAUGUGCAACGUACUUUGAACCUGAUGAUUGAGGUUCUUCUCUUCAUCUCAUACCUUGGAUUGAGCUUCGUAUGAGAUUAGAUUUUAUUUUAAGGCAAAAACCUAAAACUAUUAGAUGAAGAUUUUUAAAGUAUUAACAGUUCACAAUGUUAGUGUUUAUAAUUGAUAAAUACAUUUAUGAAAAAAUAAAUUAUUAAAAUUUCACAAAUUAUAAAAAUAUUUAAUAUGGAUGUAAUUAUAUUUAUAAUUAUAAUGGUAAAUUUUGUCCCACUUUAAAGUUUUUGCACAAAUAAGAGUCAUAUUAAAUGGGCUAAAUUUGAUUAAUAUGCUGGGCUUUUUUAAAUUUAGACUUUAGGUCAGUUUUAAAAUUAAUUAGGGAAAUAGGCUAUUUUUAGGAGGGAGAAAGUGAAAGUGUGUUUAGCUGGACGGUAAAAUACAAUGGCUUUUUGAUCAUUGUUGCGUCAAACGGUAAAAAGAAAUUGUCAAAAAAAAAAUUUAAAAUCUCCCAACAAUAAUUUUUUUUAACUUAUAAAUACCUCCCAAUUUUUAUUGUUUUCAUUCACAUUCUUCUCUCAAUUCUCUCAAGCUUCUUAUUCAAUAUUUAUUUAUAUUUUCAUUUAAAAUAUUAUUUUUUAAUUAUAUUAAAUUUUAUUCAUUCGGGUCAAUUUCUUGAAAAUAGACGCCUCUCUAAUUUGUUUCGACGACGACCAUAUUUUUACUGCCCAAUUAGUAAUGGUAAGACGAAAUUUAAAAUUUUAUUUUUUUAAUUAUGUUAAUAUUUUUUUUAUAAGUCUAAAUAUUUUUUUUAUGUUAUAAAUAGACGGGGAGCCUCCGAUCCCUGAAAUUUAUGGGUACCGGUAAGAGGUCCGAUUCUUGCAUGCAUCUCUCAUGCAAGGGGCCUACUAUCUGUGCAGAAAAUACACCCGGUUGGACAAGUUUUCACUUUCUCUUUCCUAAAAACGAUAUAUUUUCUUAAUUAAUUUUAAAUUGAUCUAAAGGUCAAAUUGAAAAAAAAACCUGGGCAUAUUAAUCAAAUUUAGCCUAUUAAAUGUCAUUUUAAAUAUUUUACAUAUAUUUUAAAUAUUGAUAAUGUUGUUUUAAAAGAAAUUGAGUUAUUACUUUUUUUUUUUUAAUUAUACAUAAAAUUUAAAGUAUUUACCAAAAAAGUAGAUCCAUUUUAUAAUUUUGAAAUCCUUUAUGCCACCUCAAUUAUGAUGAAAAAACGAUCAAGAAGGGCAAUUUAGGCAUUUGAAUAAAACCAAAAUGGGUUUUUCUAGAACAAUUGGUCUCUGCCUUUUUGGAUUCGAUAAUACGACAGAGGCAAAUGGUUUUUUUAAAACCCUAAUUUCACCAUUGUUUCAAUUUUCUCCCCAUUUUCUCUCUCAAAAUCCUAAAAAGAAAAGAACAACCAGGUUAUAUUAUAUUCACAACAGCCAAAAAAUAAAAAUCAAUUGCUCAUCCACCACUCUCAUAAAAUUCAUUUUCUAUUUUCCAUUUACUUUUUUUUUAUUUUGUUUUUUCUUCUAAUUUUUCCUUAUUUUCGAUAACUUUCUCUUUGUUGAAAACUAGGGUUUGCGCUAAUGGUGGGUUUUGUCUGUUGAAAUUAGGGUAGUUUUGGGAUAAAUUUUCAAUUCUCCUGUAAGGGAAGUGUGGUUGUAGUGGCUUCCCAAAUAUAUAGGCCUGUGAGUAAUCUCUAUUUCUUUCCUCUCUGCAUGCAUUUUUAAUGGGUGUUAUUGCAAUUUUUUUUUAUAAAUACGAUUAGUUUUGGGUGCGAUUGUUUCAGUUCAUUAGUUUCUUGUUAAAUCGGCAUUUCGUUUCUUGCUGGUUAUGAAUUUAUUUUUCAUUACGGAAGCUAGGAUAAAGAAAAUUUUGGGCUGGAAAUGUAUUUACUGUUUUUUAUGCCUUAUUUUGUUCGUAUUUGUGCUUUUUGGGAGAAAGGGGAGCUUUCUUGUAUAUAUUCUUUGUCCAGGCAAAUAAGGUGUUUUUUUUAAACCCUCGUUUUGUGGUGUCAGGUUUUGUGUUAACUAAAUACUUCAUUGCUUUCCUUUUCUAUAUUUUACAUGAAGAUUUGCUAUUCUUCUGGGUUAAUUUCCUGGAAUUAUUUUAUUGGCUUUGCUGCAUUUAUUCAAAUUGUUUAAACAGCUAUAUAUCAUUCCUUCGGCUCCUUUAUUUCUUCUACCUUAUAAGCACGAUUUAACUUUAUUUUGCAGUAUAACAUGCUUUCUUUGGUCUUGUUGGCGCUUUAUUUCUACUGCACAUGUUUUACUAGAAUCUUUUUUGUUUGGCUUUUUUGGUGAAUGACUGAGAAAUGUGACCUUUUCUAGUAGGUUUGAAGGUGAGUUUGGGUUGGAAAAGAUGUCAUCAAAAUAUCAAAUACUUGACAAUAGACCAAUUGAUCAAUGGAAGGUUACAGAGUUGAAAGAAGAACUUAAGAGGCGGAAACUGACAACUCGGGGCUUGAAAGAGGAGUUGGUAAGACGUUUGGAUGAGGCCGUUAGAUUGGAAAGGGAAAAUGGUGAAACUGAGGAAGAUAAUGGUUUUAAUUCUGAUCCCCAGCCUACAGAUGAGCGAGGGAUUGAAAAGGCAAUUCCAGUUAUUGUUGAGACAGUUAAAGAUGAUGUGGAUCAUAGUGGCCGUGAGAUCGAGAAGGAGAGUGGGGUGAAGGUUCAUGUUGACAUUAAUGAGAGUGCAGCUGCUUUGGGUCAUGAAGGAGUUCAAGGAAGCGACAGCUUGGUGGAAAAGGAGCUUGUUUCUGAAACCACCACUAUUCAGACUGAGAUAACGGUUACCAAGAAUGUGGUAUCUGAGGUACCAUCUACUGAGAAAGAGAGCUCAGGGCAAAAUGAGAAUGUGAAUACUGAUAUCAAAGUGGAGGGUAAGGAUCCUAAGCUCCAGUUCGAGACUGAUGAUCCAAAGCCUGAGGUGGAGAAUGAUGAUCCAAAGGGCAAACUGCAGGGUUCAAAUCCUCAGCUGGAGAGUGAUGAUUCAAAGCCUCAGCUUGACAUUGAAGAUUCGAAGGUGCAGCUGGAGAACGGGGGUUUGAAGGUUCCACACGAGGAUGAUGUGCAUGAUUCUUCUGCUCCGAACAUCCAGGUAUCUGAGGUCAGCCCUGAUUUAGGGUUGCAAGUAAAAUCUGAUUCUAUAUCUACUGAUUCUGUCUCAAAUAAUGAAAAGAUUGAAUUAAAGGAUAAUAUACUUGCUGAUAAUGUCAAAUUAGACUUAGAUGUUGUAAAGCCAGAGAUGGUGGAACCAUCAUCCAGUAAUGUUGUCCCAAUUAGUGGUGAAUCACAUCCAAUGGAUGUUGAAGAUCCACCUGAGAACAAGGCACCUGUUGAUGAGAGAGAUGGCAAGAAUGUCACAAAUGUAGACUUGGGUAAUAAAAAUGACAGUGCUGAGACGACCUACUCGGAAAAAUUAAAUUUGGAUAGAAGUUCUGGUGAUGACUCUAUGGAGGAGGAUAUGCUUGAGAGUAAACAAAUUGAUUCAAAAUGUAGUACUGAUGAAAUGGGAGAUAAGAGUGAGAAUAAUGGAGCACCUAUUAUCAAGGAGAAAAUUCCUCUUGGUGAUGUAAGAGAUGAUUUAUCUGUUAAUAAAAAGGACACCUUGGUUGAGAAUAAGAGCCGAUCUUUUGUUCCUGCUGAGAAAAGAAAGCUUCAUGGUAAGUGACAAUGGCCUGCAAUUGUUACUGCCUUUCUUUGCAUGUGUGCUUACUUUUACCUUACUGAUAGCAUUUUGAAGCUAAGGUGAUUGGAUAGUAGUGCUUGUACUUAAUGGACAUUCUUAAGACAGAUAACUUAAGGUGGUUUUUUGAAACAUGAUCUGCUUAAGUUGCAGUUCUGGAAGGUGAUAAUCUUGUUUUUAAGUUCUUAUCUAUUUGAUAGUUUAUACACUACUUUAGUUUUUUUUUUCCAUGGAUGGUGCAUGCUUUACAUGUUCUAAAAGAGCUUUACGGGUUAGAGUGCUGCAUCUUUGGUUUGAAGUUAAUGUAUAUAGUUUUUGGCUAGAAAUUGCUGUGAUGUUCCUUCUUAGUACUUUUAUUGGUUCCUAUGACUGCCUGGAGCCUUAGAAACAAAAUUAUAGGUAUAUCUAAUAUUGAGCUUUCUCUGUAAUCAAGGGAGUUCAUUUUAAAAAUUUGAUCAGACAUGAGAAUGAAAUUAAUGUAGUUUCCUACUGGGUUAAUGGGCAAUUCUCACCUGAUGAGUUGUCUUUACAGAUCAGGAACCUGUUGGUAACAAUGAGCUUGCAAAACGGCGCAAAUGGAAUUCUGACAAUAUAGAAGUUCCAGAACAUCAAGGCUCUAAUCUUACACCCAUCAGCACACCUAAAGACACCCCUCAGCCUGCUGCUUUGAGACGUAACUUCUCUAGAUCAGACUCAACAGCAAGUGAAGGUGCACCAAAGGAACGAGUUGGUGAGUUGUCAUCUCUCAGUCAGCUGAUACGAAUUGAAUUCUUCUGAUUGUUGUUUUAACAUCUAAUUUUCUGUUUUAUCUUUAUUUGGCAGUUCCCCCUUCUCAAAAUGCUCCUACCACAUCCCUCAGAAUUGAUCAUUUUCUUCGCCCUUUUACCUUGAAAGCUGCACAAGAACUUCUAGGGAAAACUGGGACUGUAACUAGCUUCUGGAUGGACCACAUUAAGACCCAUUGCUAUGUUACAGUAAGACUUAUUGCUUUGUUUCCAUCUCCUCCGAUGGGACUUUCGUGGUCUAUGAUCAAAUACUCAUUUUGGCUUUUUAUUGUUGGGCUGAUUCAAUAUAUCUAAUCAACUUUGGGAAUUGCUUUAUUGGUGCAGUAUUCAUCUGUAGAAGAAGCAAUAGAGACACGAAAUGCUGUUUAUAACCUGCAAUGGCCACCUAAUGGUGGGCGUCUAUUGGUGGCUGACUUUGUUGAUCCCCAGGAAGUUAAAACUCGGCUUGAUGCUCCACCACGGACUCCAACUACUCCUGGGACUUCUGGUUCUACUGCUCCUCAAGCUCAACCUGCUUCUCAGCCCCAGCCCUCUUCGCGUCAGCAGGUUUCUAGGCAGCAGUUUCCACCACCUUCUGCACAUCCUCCACCACCGCCUUUGCCUAACCCUCCACCAGUUAGAGAACGUCUCCCUCUUCCGCCGCCACCUCCAGAGAAACCAGAUCCUCCUAUUGUCACUCUGGAUGAUCUAUUUUGGAAAACCAAAGCAACUCCUCGGAUCUACUAUUUGCCUUUGUCAGAUGAGCAAGUUGCAGCCAAGCAAGCAGCACAUGGCAGAAACAUCAAGCUGUAGAGAUCAGGCUAUAAUUUAUCCCUGGCUGCUCUUCCGGUUUUCUUAUCGGUUGGUCUGUAUGUUAGAUAAUGGUAAGAAAACUGUCACAUAAUUGCAUGUUUGCAGGUCUGCAGGUCUUGCUUUAUUGGAAGGAAUAGUUCCAGCCAUGCAGGGGGGAGUCCAGUGAUGGCUAUUGGUUUUCUGACAGCUACUUUGGGCUUGAGUUCAAUUUUCAUUUAGCACUAGAAUCCUUCAAACGUAGAGCUCUCUUUAGUUAUGGAUUGAUUCGCCUUUGUUCUAAUUUGGUUUUCCUACAGAACAAUAGCCUCAACUUUUAUGAACCUGAUUUGGUAGAAUCUUACUCACUCUGGAUGAUGUUAUUUUAAUAGAUUUGUCAAAAGGUUAUUUAGACUCCCUGGUAUCAUGUUAUUGAACUCGUUAUAUGUAUGUGUAGGUUUUAUCGUUCUGCUCUUCUAAACUUGAUGAAAGAAUGACUCAUGAGUAAUAACAGAGAUUCUUCUCUCCAUCUCAUAACUUUCAUGUUUUCACUUUUGAAUCACCAUUGUUAUAGAUGAGUUUGUAAAGAGUGGGGGGUCAGAGCAUGAGGCAGAGAUGAAGAGUCCAUUGCCUAGAGGUUGUGAAAAAGAGUUGAUGAAAGAUCCUGGAAGGGUGUUAUUGGUAUCAGAAUGGGGUUAUUGCUUGCACCAAACUCUGUUCGUAUUGGAAUGGUUAGGAUGAGGUGACUUAAGAAGUGAUGAGGUUUGAAAUUUUUAUACAUAAUUCAAUGUUACUCUGGAGGGAUUUAGAAAACAAGGAACGUGAUUGAUAGAUGUUGAAUGCGUUGAAGGGAUGUUAAUGCUAUAUGGAUGCUGUCCUUGGGAUUAAACUAAAAUUUCUAAAUAUUCAAUAUGUAUUUGAAUUCUAAUAAAAAUAAAAUUUUAAUUUGCUUCACGGAUUUUAUUUAGGGUGGGUUUGGAUGGGCAAUUGGGUGUUGUGUAGUGUGUUUAGUUUAUUUUUUGUCUCGUGUUAUAGUGUUGUUACAGUGUCUAAUCUCAUCGUGAUCGUUGUUUUUACACUAACCGCAAGUAAACGCAUUGUCCAUUCAAAUUCACCCUUGGUCUUUCACUUUUAACUUAACAUGCAAUUCUAAAGAAUUUAUUUCAUUACAAUGUUAUAAUUAUAAAUUAUUUUAUUUUAAUAAUUACAUGUAGGGGUGAGCGAAAAUCGCUCACUCGAAAUUUUUUUUUCAAAUUUUAAUUGAAUUGAAUUAAGUUAUUUGGUUUUUUAGAGUUCGGGUUUAGUUAAAUUUUACAAUUUGAAUAACUCAAAUAAUAUAUUUGUGUAAAUAUUUUUUUUGGUCACUGUUGAAAAUGAACAAAUUUGGUGUAGAUAACUUAUUGGAGUUGAUUGGUCGUUGAUCGAUGUUGACCGGUCACGUGGUACUAUUAGAAUACACUACGUAUCCUUUUUUUUGUUGUAAUAAUAUAUAUUAUAUUGAUAAAAAAAUAUACAAAAAACCAUAUAUAAUAUAUAAAAUAUUUUAAAAAUAUUUUUUUUUAUAAAAUUUUAAAAUAUAUAAUUUAAAUUUUGAAAAAUCAAAAUAAUAUAUAAAAAUUAAAAAAUGUUAUAAAAGUUAAAAGAAAACUUGAAAUUUAAAUACUUUUUUAGAAUUUUAGAAUUAUAUAUUUUAGAUUUUUAUAAAAAAAUUAUUUUUAAUUUUUUAAAAAUAUAAUUUUUUAUAAUUUUUAUAAUUUUUUUUUAUUUUUUAUAAUAACAUAAUUGAUUUCAACUAAUUUAUUUUAAUUUAUUUUUAAUAAUAUUUUUUUCUUUGAAAGUUUACAAGUAUAAAUACAAUAUAAGCAAAGUAUAAUCAUAAUUACAUGUUGGAGCAAUUAAGUAGAACCAAAGUAAUAUAAAUGACAAGCAACUUAAGAAUCGGAAUUAUUUGAGCUAAAAUCGACACAUUAAACUAAAAUUCAUAUAUGACAACACCACAUGAUGAGAUUAGAAACCCACAAUAAUAAUUGUGCAUAAUAAUUUUUAAAUAUUAAAACGCAAAUACCCAAGACUUCAACUUUUACUAUCAAUAUCAAGACCUCAUCAAGAAAGGAUGAUAAUAUUUCAACUUUGUUUAUGAAAUUAAAAAAAUAAAGUGAUGGACAUAAUGAAAAUUAAGGUGCAUUGAUAUCUCCCGAACCCUGGUUUUCACUGACGCUAACGCUAGCAGAGUCGGGCACAGCCGGGCCAGGGUGAACCUUACUCCUCCCAACAACAACCGUACAAGGUUGAGGCUUUGUCGACUCUUCAAUGCCUCUGCUUGCUUUCUCCUCUUCCGUUCUCUUCAUCUUCUCCUUCUGCCGCUUCUGCAUCACAUAAACCUCAGCACAGCUCGCUCCUACGGAAGACAUUCUUAACUAAUAUGGCCCUUCACUAUGAUACACGAUAAUGCAUGUGAUUUGGGAGAUGAAGAUGUAGGAGACUUGGGGAAUAUAUAGAGGGGGUGGGGUGUAAGAGGGGUGAGCUAGCCAUCACUAAUUCACUAUUAAUUUAAGCUCAUGGCAUUGCUGAAAAAUAUAGAAAUUAAUAAAAUAUAAUAAAUAUGAAUUUUGAGGUAAAAGAUUGCCCCUGCCGGAUUGCAUUUCUUCUUUGAAUAAAUUAGUCUUGUAGCCGAAAAAUUGGCGUUUCUGUUAAAAGUUACAUCUAAGUGAAAGGAUUAUGGAAGUCAUUGUACUAAGAGUUCAAUUGUACUUUUCUCUCUUACUCAAAAAAUACAAGGUAAAUUAAUUCGUUUACAUUAAAUUAAUGAGCAAACAUAUCCUUCAAUUAAAAUUCCAUUUAUUUCUACUAUUAAGUUACACAUGGUUGAUGGAGCAACCUUAUAGCAACAUAGUAGUAUGCCAGAUGUAUGUUGAUGUCACAUUUAUCACGUAAACAAAAAUUUUAAAUAUUAAAAAAAUCCUAAAAAUAAAAAAUUUUAAUAAUUAUUUAAAAAAGGGUGUUUAAGAUGAACCUGAACAAAAUUAUAGAAAAUUCUAAAAAAAACUAUUAAAAUUAUUUAAAAAAUAUUAAAAAUAACAUUCAAAAUGAACUUGGACAACAUAAUCAUUUAUCUAGAUUCACUCUAGAUUGGUUUCUUAAAACUGUAAUAAUUUUUAAAUAAUUUUCUAUAAUUAUUUAAAAAAUCACAUUAACAUGUGAUUCCUUGAGGAGUGAUUUUUUAAAAUAAUUACUAAAAAUUUUAUUCAUUUUUAUGAUUUUAAAAAAAUAAAUAUUACUACAUCAACAUGAGGUACAUGUUGUACGCCAUAUGCCACUGUCUGGUUGUUUUGUUAGCCCCGUCAACACUUAAUAGUAGAAAUGCAUGGAGGUUUUAAUAGAAUGAUCAGUUUACUCUUUGAUCUAACAUACAUGGACUAAUUUGUGCAUUUUUUAGUAGAUGGGGCAAAAUGCAAUUCGAUGCCUAGUAUAUGGGCCUCCAUGGUUCUUUUACCUAAUCCUACUCAUCCUUUAAUUCCAUAUAGCUUAUAAAGCCAAAUCAUCACCUAAGAGCACAAAUAGAUGGAAUUUUUGGCAAAAGUAUCAAUUUGCACUCUCUCUCCCCUUUUUUUUUUAACAUUUAGAGAUUAAUUUACCUAUUUUUUUGUGUAGAAGAGACAAAAAUACUAACCCCUAAUAUAAGGAUACCAAUUUUUCAUUUUUUAUAUAUGAGACAAUCAUAAUCUAGUUGCUUCAUUUUUCUUAACAAAAAUACUAACUAUUCAAUAGGUUUAGGAUUAGUAGAACACAAGUAUUUGUAUUUUUUUUUUGUAUAACUACAAAGGGAAAGCGUGGAGAAAGGUAGGGGUAAACAAUAAAAAUAGUCACUUUUGUUUGCCUUAGAUUACAUUUUAGUCACUUAUGUUUGAAAUGUUAUGUUUUAGUCACUUGCGUUGUCGUUUUGUUACAAAGUAGCCACUCUACAAUUAAGCUCCGUUAUGUCUCUAACAGUGGUCCUACGUGGCAGUCCAAAUGAGUUUUAAAUGCCAACUUGGAUGUCUUACAUGGUAGUCCAAAUUAAAUUUAUUUAAUUAAAAGCCUAUAUUCAUCCCAGCAAUUGGACAUCCAAGUUGUCAUUUAAAACCCAUUUGGACUGUCACGUAGGACUGUAGUAGGGAAGUAACUGAGUUUAAUAGUAAAGUGACUACUUUGUAACAAAACAAUAACAUAAAUGAUUAAAACGUAACAUUUCAAAUAUAAAUGACUAAAAUGUAAUCUGAAAUAAAUUAAAAUGACUAUUUUUGUAGUUUAGCUGAAAAUGAUGGGUAAGCUUGACCCCGACCCUUUGAAUUAAGUUAAUUGACGAUAAGGAAAAGAAAAGGACGUGGAAGAAGUGGAUGUUACAGGAAUAUAUAUAUAUAUAUAUAUAUAUAUAUAUAUAUAUAUAUAUAUACGUGAAUGAUGGGUUUUGCUUUUGGAGUGGCCAAUUAAACUUAGUGCCCAAAUCGAGAGUCGAUUGCCCACUGUGAUGAUACAGAAUUUAUGCAAAGUGACAUUGUUGAGUAUGAAUGUGGUGCUGCGUUGACUGUGUUAGAUCGUUGAUAGUGGGUGUGCUUUGUGUGUGGAGUAUUGUUUUGGAAGGUUAGGGAUAUUGGGACUGAGUCUGUGGAUGGUAAUCGGAGAAUAAAAAAGCAUUGAUUGCUAGUGAUUGGUAGUAUAAUAUCAUAAUCAAAACUCACGAUUUGGAUUAAACAAUAUUAUGUAAACACGUAUUUAUUUAAUUAACAAUCUAAAAUUAAAUGUAUUUUAUAUUCAGUAUUUUAAUAUUAUUGAAUUUUUAUUAAUUUAUAGAAAAAAACAUUUGCAUAAUAAUAUAAUUUAUUUUGUACAUAAAUAAAUUUAUAUCCGGAUAACUAAUUAUAAUAAAAUGGUGCCAUUUGUGAGCAUGGCGCAUGCAACUCAGAAAACGGUAAAUUGUUGCACCUUUCAUGAUUCAUGCCGUAGUAGUAAAAAAUCCAAAUCUAAAAUAACUUAAUUACAAUUUUAGAAUGAAUCUAUUUAAUAUCCAUGAAGAGUUUUAGUUUGAAAAAGCAAAAUCUUGAUAUAAAAAUAAUUCAUCAGAUUUGGAUUUAAUGUUUUAGAUGUUCUGCAAUUCCAAGUUUAAGUUUUAUUUCAAUUUUUAAGUCCCAUUAUAUAUAAGUUAAAAACUUUUUGAUAAUUUUAAAAUAGAGUUUUUACUUGAAGCAUCUUAAUUAUCACUUAAUUGAUAAUGUUACGUACUUUGCAUUAAUUACAUAAAUUAAAAUUAUAUUGUAUGUUGAAUAUGUUAAUGUUUUAAUUAUGAUUUGAAAACUUUCUAUUAUAAUAUUUAAAUUGAUAAGUUAAUAUAUUUUAAUUAUAUUUAAUAAUUUAAAAAAUGAAUUUUAAUUUACCUUAGUUAUUGCAAUUAAAUAUAUAAUGGUUAAAAAAUUGAUUAAUUAUUAAAACCGUAAAAUCACAUGUCAUGAAAAGCUAAUAUAUAUAAAAGCACGAGUUUGGAGGAAUUUUUUAACUAACGAGAAUACCCUUUAUUGUUAAUUAUAUUACUAAAUUAACAUUAGAAUAAUAGGUUAUUAAUAUUAUUAUGUGGUGAUAAUAAUAAAGUAAUAUAAAUUAAAUAUUAAUUAAUAUGAUAGUAUAUUAAUAUGAAAUUAAGUAAUUUUUCUAUAUCUUUUAAAAGUUGUUGAAAAAACAAAAUAUAUUAUUAAUGAAGAAAAUUAAAAAUCUAUAAAAUCCUAUAAUCGGAUAAGUUCAAAAUAAUAAAAAUCCAAAAUUUUUAAUUAGCUAAAUAUAAUUAUAUAUAUAUAUGAUUUUAUUUUAAAUAUGCUAAUAAUUUAUAAUGUUAAAAUUAAGUUUUUAUAAUCAAUAAAAAUUAAACAUUAACAUUAUGUAUAAAAAGAUAAUAUCAAGAUAUGGGUAAUUUAAUCUGUAAUGUGUAGAUUUAUUUGUUUUUAAUUUACAUGUCAAAAAUAAAAAAAUAAAAAUAUUUAGAUUUAAAUUAAAUAUUAAAUUUUUAUAAAUUAAUUGUAUCUAAUCAAAUUAGCUUGAUUCAAUACAAAUCUCGACUUGACAAAUAUUGAGAAAUUAAAAUAAAAAAAAUGAUGAAUUAAGAAUUAAUAUUUUAUAUUAUAUAUAUAUAUAUUUCUAAAUCUAUAAAAUCAAUGAUAAUAAUACAAUAUAAAAAUUAAUUGCAUGCAGAAGUGCAAACGCUUCCAUUAUCCAAAACAAAUAAUCAAAUUCAGAGGUCUGACUUGAGAAUAUUAAAAUUAAUUAAAGAAAUUAUUUUAAUAAAAUAAAGCUACUGUUAUGGCCAAUUAUUAGGUUGGUAGGCUACAUUUAUUGUCAGCAUUUCCACCUCUGAGACGCCCGACCCUACUCACCUAACCAACAAUAUCAGCUCUCCGGUGUCUAUACUUUGAUGGAAUAUGAUGCUAAAAAGCAGGCCAUGCAUGAAACUCACCUCAAUGCAUUGCAUUUUACUAUUUGAUUGCAAUUUAUUAAUCAGAAAUAGUUGCAUUCAAAUCUUGGAGCCUACUUUAUUACAAACUUCAAAGGUGAAUGUUGGUGCAAUAUUCCAAUUUGCAGAUACAUAAAUAUAGUUAGAUCAUCUUGCCAAUUUAGUACUAAAAAAGAAAAUCAAGUUGUUAAGCAACUCACAUAAUAAAUCUAUAUUAAAUUUUAAAUUAAAACUUUUUUCUUAUCAUUAACCCAAAAAGUUUAUUACUUACUGGUGGAUCCUAGUAAAAUUUUCAAAAUAUUUACGAGUUUAGAAAUUGGGGAUCAAUUAAAAUUUUCAAAUAUUUUAAAUGAGCUUAAUUAAGAUUUUUAAAACAAAUUAAAAGGUAUCAUGAGAAUUUUCAAAAACUUGAUGGGUCUAAUUAAAAUUUUCUAAAAACUUCAAGGGAUACAUGAAAUUUUUCAAAAAUUUUGGGGGUUUAAAUAAAAUUUUUUAAAAAUUUCAAGGAAAAAAUCAUAAUUUUCCAAAAAAAAAUUUGGGGUGGGGGGGAAGGCCACCUAAGCACUUUAAACAGUCCGCCUCUGCCACCAAUAUAUUAUUUAAAUAAGACCAAGAAUACCAAUUUAGUAUUUUAAUAAUUUAAUAAAAUUAUUGUUUGUAUAUUUAUAUAAUCAAUAAAAUUAUAACGAACGAGUUUGGUAUAAUAGAAAGUUAUCACUUUCUAUAAAAUUUAAUUGGUUAAUAUGUGAUUCUAAUGUUUGGUAUGUAAAAGUUAAAUUACUGCCCUCGUGAGUUACUUUCUCACAAGUAAUGAAAAGUGAUUCCUUUAGUAAUAGGUGUGAAAGUUACUCUCUCGUGGAAAGUAAAAAGAAUUUGUUAGAGUAAAAUUAGUCUCUUUUUGUGUGUGUGUGUGUUUAGGAUAAAAAUUCAAAAUGAAUGUAUUUUUUUGUUAUAAAUAUAUAUUUUUUUAAAUUAUACUUUUUCAUGGAUAUCAAAUUUUAGCAUCAAGAUAAUUUCAAGUCAUAUACGCUAUAUAUGAAUACACUUGAAUUUAUCCUGUAAUGUACCGAGUAAAAUUUACUUCACAAUCUUGAAAUAAUUUACAAGUUAUUUUUUAAUUGUAUUCAUGUAAUGGAUUCCACCAAAACGUGAGCAAAUAAUAUUUAUAGAUUAAUUCAAAUAUUUGUUUACCGAAAAUAUUAUUAUUAAAUAUUUUUUUUAAUUUACAAUAUAUAUAUAAGCACGAGUUUGAAAAAAAAUUUGAAUCGAUCAGAAUAUUUUUUAUUUUAUUUUAUUAUAUUACUAAAUAUAAUUAUAAUGUAAUUCAUAUACAUUAUAGUUACAAUUUAAAAUUGUAAACAUAUAAAUAUUAUUAUAAAGUUAUGGUAGUUUAGAAGGUGUGAUAAGUUUAUAUAUAUAUAUAUAUAUAUAUAUAUAUAUAUUAGUUUAAACAUCUCUAAGAUACAUUUUAGUUUAAUAUUACAAAUUAUAAACAUAUCUAAAUAUUAGUAGUAAGUUUUAUUUUAGUUUUAUUACUCAUAAAGUAGAAAGCUACUUCAAUUAAAUAACAAUAAUUACAAAUUGUAUUCACAUUUAAAUAUUAUUAUAAGAUUAAGCAUGACAUUUUAAUAUAAUUAUAAUUUAAUUUAAAACUAUUAAUUCACAUUUAAAUAUAAAGUAGUAGUAAUGCUUGCAAAUUGUAUUUUCAAUUAUUUUAUAUAUUUUGUGAUGAAUUAUUAUUAAAAACAAUAUAUGGUACGUUUUGUAAAUUUUGUGUAUGCACCGUAAUUUUUUUUAUGAUAUUUAAUUACUUUAUAAAUUAAUUAUAAUUAUAAUUAUAAUUUUAUAAUUGUUUAGGUAAUUUAUAACUCUAGCACAAUUCAACUAUUAUUAUGUAAAUUAAUUUGAAUAUAUGAGAAGUAGAUGAGUUGAAUAGGAGGUAAGUUUAAAAAAUCUAUUUAUUAUAUUUUGAUAAAUAUUUUUCAUAAAAUAUUAUUUAAUUUAAAUGUUGUUUGCAUUAAGUAUGUUAUGUAUUUUUUAUCUUUUACUUUAAAAAAUAAACGCAUAUACUACGUGCAAUUGGUCUGCCAUAAUUUGAUAAGUUAAAUUAGACUCUCUAGAACACUUGAUGAGUUUGUUCUCAAGCAAUUUACGAGUCUUUUCUAUUCUUUUUUGUUAAUUUUUAAUUUUUAGUAUUUAUGAUCGUUCUCCUUAGUUUUGGUCUUUUUGAAACCCAAAUUGGCAAAAUGGUGUCAAUAGGAGUCUAUAGUGUAAUUGAGUUUGUGUAGGGAGACGACGACGACCAAACCUUGAGGAGAACCGCAUCUGAUGUGGCUGUCAUGACACUGAGCCUCCAUUACCUCAAGGGUAUAAGACUUCAACGAGAAAUCAACUUGGAGCAGUAUGCCAAGGGUGUUGCGACAUUAAGAGUGUUGUGUCACGACACCAAGCCUCCAAGGUCGCGAUACCACUGCUGAUUGUUGAAGUGAAAAAGCCAGGACUACUGCUGAGGAUGUCGCAACACCAACCAGCUAGUGUUGCAACAUUGAGAACCCCUAAAGCUAAGAAUGUUUUGUCACAACACCAAGCCUCGAAGGUCACGAUACCACUGCUGAUUGUUGAAGUGAGGAAGCCAGGACUACUGUUGAGAAUGUCGUAACACCAACCAGUUAGUGUUGCAACAUUGAGAACCCCCAAAGCUAAGAGUGUUUUGUCACGACACCAAGCCUCCAAGGUCGCGAUACCACUGCUGAUUGUUGAAGUGAAGAAGCCAGGACUACUGCUGAAGAUGUCGCAAC